rnacentral:rRNA from 1 species
AGUGGCGACCGGGUGAGUAAACGUGACAAGCGCGCCUUUUAGUGGGGGAUAACCCCGGGAAACCGGGGUUAAUAAAAAAAGAAGAUCGCAAGGUCAAAGCCGAAAGGCGCUGGAAGAGGGGGUCGCGGCUGAUUAGCUAGUUGGCGGGGUAACGGCUUUUCUAAAAGAAAAAUCGGUAUCCGGCCUGAGAGGGCGCACGGACACACUGGAACUGAAACACGGUCCAGACUCCUACGGGAGGCAGCAGUGGGGAAUUUUGCGCAAUGGGGGAAACCCUGACGCAGCAACGCCGCGUGGAGGAUGAAGCCCCUUGGGGCGUAAACUCCUUUCGACCAAGACGAUAAUGACGGUACUGGUGGAAGAAGCACCGGCUAACUCUGUGCCAGCAGCCCGCGGUAAUACAGAGGGGGCGAGCGUUGUUCGGAAAUUAUUGGGCGUAAAGGGGGGCGUAGGCGGGGGCCACAAGUCACUUGUGGAAUCCUCCGGGCUUAA